UAAGCAGACAUUUACACGAGUCGCCACGUGACGUUGCUAGGCAGCUUAGCAACGUCACGUGGCGACUCGUGUAAAUGUCUGCU